GCUACGGGUGGCAGCAGUGAGGAAUAUUGGUCAAUGGCCGGAAGGCUGAACCAGCCAAGCCGCGUGAAGGACGAAGGUGCCAAGCAUUGUAAACUUCUUUUGUCAAGGGACAAAAUCAGGCUCGAGAGCCUGACCGAGGGUACUUGAAGAAAAAGCAUAGGCUAACUCCGUGCCAGCAGCCGCGGUAAUACGGGGGAUGCGAUCGUUAUCCGGAUUUAUUGGGUUUAAAGGGUGUGUGGGCGGGCUGUUAAGUAAUCGGUAAAAGCCCGGGGCUCAACCCCGGCGAGCCGUGGAAACUGGCUGUCUUGAGAUGUCGAGCGGUAUGCGGAAUGCGGAGUGUAGGGGUGAAAUGCUUAGAGAUUGCGCAGAACUCCGAUUGCGAAGGCAGCAUACCGGCGGCGAUCUGACGCUGAGGCACGAAAGCGUGGGUAUCGAACAGGAUUAGAUACCCGGGUAGUC
rnacentral:rRNA from 1 species